rnacentral:rRNA from 1 species
UACGUAGGGUGCGAGCGUUGUCCGGAAUUAUUGGGCGUAAAGAGCUUGUAGGUGGUUUGUCGCGUCUGCUGUGAAAAUCCGAGGCUCAACCUCGGACUUGCAGUGGGUACGGGCAGACUAGAGUGUGGUAGGGGAGACUGGAAUUCCUUGGUGUAGCGGUGGAAUGCGCAGAUAUCAGGAGGAACACCGAUGGCGAAGGCAGGUCUCUGGGCCAUUACUGACACUGAGAAGCGAAAGCAUGGGGAGCGAACAGG